UACAGAGGGGGCGAGCGUUAUUCGGAAUUACUGGGCGUAACGCGCACGUAGGCGGCUUGGUAUGUCGGGUGUGAAAUCCCCGGGCUCAACCUGGGAACUGCAUCCGAAACUGCCUUGCUAGAGUAUGGGAGAGGGAAGUGGAAUUUCCGGUGUAGCGGUGAAAUGCGUAGAUAUCGGAAGGAACAUCAGUGGCGAAGGCGACUUCCUGGACCAAUACUGACGCUCAGGUGCGAAAGCGUGGGGAGCAAACAGG
rnacentral:rRNA from 1 species